rnacentral:rRNA from 1 species
UACGUAGGCGGUUUACUAAGUCAUAUGUGAAAGCCCCGGGCUUAACCUGGGAACUGCAUUUGAUACUGGUAGGCUAGAGUAUGGUAGAGGGGGGUAGAAUUCAUAGUGUAGCGGUGAAAUGCGUAGAUAUUAUGAGGAAUACCAGUGGCGAAGGCGGCCCCCUGGACCAAUACUGACGCUGAGGUACGAAAGCGUGGGUAGCGAACAGGAUUAGAUACCCUGGUAGUCC